UACGGAGGGGGCAAGCGUUAUUCGGAUUUACUGGGCGUAAAGGGCGUGUAGGCGGCUUGAUAGGUCAAAGGUGAAAGCCCUCGGCUCAACCGAGGAACUGCCUUUGAAACCAUCUGGCUCGAGGCCGGGAGGGGGUAGUGGAAUUCCUGGUGUAGCGGUGAAAUGCGUAGAUAUCAGGAGGAACACCGGUGGCGAAGGCGGCUACCUGGACCGGUUCUGACGCUGAGGCGCGAAAGCGUGGGGAGCAAACAGG
rnacentral:rRNA from 1 species